UACGUAGGGGGCGAGCGUUGUCCGGAUUUAUUGGGCGUAAAGAGCUCGUAGGCGGCUUGGCAAGUCGGGUGUGAAAACUCUAGGCUCAACCUGGAGACGCCACUCGAUACUGCCAUGGCUAGAGUCCGGUAGGGGACCACGGAAUUUCUGGUGUAGCGGUGAAGUGCGCAGAUAUCAGAAGGAACACCGGUGGCGAAGGCGGUGGUCUGGGCCGGAACUGACGCUGAGGAGCGAAAGCGUGGGGAGCGAACAGG
rnacentral:rRNA from 1 species